UACGGGGGGGGCAAGCGUUGUUCGGAAUUACUGGGCGUAAAGGGCUCGUAGGCGGCCAACUAAGUCAGACGUGAAAUCCCUCGGCUUAACCGGGGAACUGCGUCUGAUACUGGAUGGCUUGAGUUUGGGAGAGGGAUGCGGAAUUCCAGGUGUAGCGGUGAAAUGCGUAGAUAGUCUGGAGGAACACCGGUGGCGAAGGCG
rnacentral:rRNA from 1 species